rnacentral:rRNA from 1 species
GACGAACGCUGGCGGCGUGCCUAAUACAUGCAAGUAGAACGCUGAAGGAGGAGCUUGCUUCUCUGGAUGAGUUGCGAACGGGUGAGUAACGCGUAGGUAACCUGCCUGGUAGCGGGGGAUAACUAUUGGAAACGAUAGCUAAUACCGCAUAAGAGUAGAUGUUGCAUGACAUUUGCUUAAAAGGUGCAAUUGCAUCACUACCAGAUGGACCUGCGUUGUAUUAGCUAGUUGGUGGGGUAACGGCUCACCAAGGCGACGAUACAUAGCCGACCUGAGAGGGUGAUCGGCCACACUGGGACUGAGACACGGCCCAGACGCCUACGGGAGGCAGCAGUAGGGAAUCUUCGGCAAUGGACGGAAGUCUGACCGAGCAACGCCGCGUGAGUGAAGAAGGUUUUCGGAUCGUAAAGCUCUGCUGUAAGAGAAGAACGAGUGUGAGAGUGGAAAGUUCACACUGUGACGGUAUCUUACCAGAAAGGGACGGCUAACUACGUG